AGUUAAAUAGUACGUGAAAUUGUUGAAAGGGAAACGAUUGAAGUCAGUCAUGCUAGUGAAAAUUCAGUUUGGUGGGUUUUGGGUUCAGGAGUUGAGGCAGGGUCAAACCGUUUCUCUUUUGAACUUGGAAUUUGUCAGAUGCACUUUUUCUUUGGCAGGUCAGCGUCGAUUUCGGAGGUUGUAAAAUACUUGGGGAAAAGUAGCUCUGCUUCGGGAGAGUGUUAUAGACCUUGGGUGAUGCAGCCUGUGGGAUCGAGGAUUGCAGCAAAUGCCUUUGGCAUGUCGCCUGAUCUCUGGACGUCAUCUCGCAUGUAUCAACAUUCUUGGUGCCGGUGAGUAAUGGUGCUCAUAGGUUAGAGCGAUCAAAAAUUUGCUAAGGAUGCUGACGUAAUGGCUUUAAA
rnacentral:misc_RNA from 1 species